UUGUUUACAAGUUUCGCGCCUGACCCAAGGCGCCCCUCCGGCAGCUCCGUCACAGUUCCGUCAGUCUCUGGUGGUUGGAAUACAUUCUCUUGAUUCUUUUGGUGCAAAGAAGAAUUACCAGUUACUUUACACUCUAGUGGCUUGUGACUCUUUGAUGGAAUAUCCAGCAAACUUACCAAGGAGCCGCAAGGAGUUGAUGGCUACGGAGGAUGAACUACCUAUACGAACCUCUUAGCAUAAGAUACAAAACGCAAAUAUUUGGUGUGUAGUUUCCUUAAGUAGGCAGGGCGAUAUGCCUGGCGUGAAGAGAGUACGGGACAAUGAUAGGGACGAUCACGAGAGUGAGAAUGAAGACGGAGACCAGGAUUCAGACAGUGACCGCAGUUCUCUGGACGAGUCAAUAACGUCUGAUGGGUCAGAAUCUGAUGACUCUUCAGAAUUGGAUGAGGAGGAAUGUGAUAGACGACGAGGGGAGUAUCUAACAGAUCUGUCGGAUUUGGAACGACAGUUUUCUUUGCUUAGAGAGCAACUGUACCGUGAACGACCAACUCUGGUUGACGCUAAGUUAAAUGAAGUGCAAGUGGGAGAAGCUGCCGACCAUUUUCAAUUUCUACCCCAUGUUUUGUGUUGCCUCAGACUGUAUCGUGAACGAGUAACUCAGGUUGAAGCUAAGUUAGAUGAAGUGCGAGUGGGAGAAGCUACCGAGUACCUCAUGCCAUUGGAGGAACUUCAGGAGGCCAUGCGUAUCAGGCUGGAAGUGGCUUGUAUCCUUCGACAGUUGCGGCUCCAAAACAUCACUAAUAAACAUGAAGCAGAAGUUCUUGCCUCUAAACAAAACUUUGAGAAUGAGAAAGUGAUGUUGUGGGAUACAAUUGAAGGUGAACUGGAAGAUAAGAUUCGUCGUCUUGAGGAAGAUCGCAACAAUGUUGAUGUCACUAGUCAAGUGUGGGCAGAACAAAAUCUACAUAGAAAGAGACGAAGACAUAGACAGGGCUCGAAUAGCUCCACGGAUCGAAAGAGAAAAAAACCAACUACUGUUGCUGGUCCAUAUAUCGUUUAUAUGUUAAGAGAACCAGAUAUUGUUGAUGACUGGACUACAAUCAAGAAAGCUUUGACAGCAUCUAAACGUAAAAGCAAAUUGACGUGAGGUUUAACUUCUUUAGUCUUACUUCGUAACUCAUACCUCUCAUCUCUGGGACUAGUCUGGUGACAUACCUCUGAACUUUCUGCAUCUUCAUUUUAUGUUUAAUGAGUUGGUAAAAUCACUUCUCCUCGUCAUUAUUCAGAAGCCUUUCCUGUAUAAGGAUGGUUGAUUCCAGAUUUCUCUAUUUUUUACUGCCCUGUAUAUUUUGUUUAUAAGGUGUAUAGUUCAUGAACAUAACAAAAUAUUGCAACUUUGUGUUUAAACUUUAAUUAUAUGGCACAAAGUACAAGUCCUCAUGCUGAUGUCCAUUCAGAAUACAAUUUAGGAUAAUAAUGUUGAUAUCUUUUGUGUGUUACAAUUAAAAUCUCAAAAGGGUUUGUUCAGUUUUCUGUGCAGUAACAUUUUAGGUUCCAUUGGGAUAUUAUAAAUUAGUUUUUUAUUGUUAAUAAUUAAAAAAAUAAGGCAUAGUGAAUCCAAGAUUAUGUAGGUGCUUCGGUACACAAUGCUAAAUGUGUACAGAAAGGUAAUGAAGUGUUUUUACUUCAAGCAGUAAUUCACCUCACAUAAAUCAUGUAAAUACAUUAGCGAUUAAUACAAAAAUAAAAUUUGUUAUUUUCUGUGUCUGUCCUGAUAUACUAUCAGCUUGAAUUGCAAUAUGUAUUUCUUAAACUCUUGUACUUAUCCUUUGAGACGGAACUUGGAGAAAUUAGAGAAAUUAUCAGUUAUUAGUUUUUUAUACAAACAUUUUUAUUUUGCAUUUCUAAACCAGAAGAAACCAUGAUUAAAUAGUAAUUAUUAUUUUAGUGGUUGUCCACAAAGAAUCUCAUAUGGAUUUGCUGUGCAUGUGUCACUUACAUGUUAUACCUUAUCCUGCUUAACUGGUAAUGUUUGCACAAGACUUCACAGUAGUAAAACAUGUAUUUAAUCCUAAUCAAGUUUAAUUUUUUUUUUAUAUAUUACUGUUGUAUAUAAGUUUGUACAUGCUCAAAUCAUCAGCAUCAAAAUUGUAUUUGCUCUGUAAUUGGUUAAUACUUUUAUUAUAAUAUUGUGACCUAAUUUGUAUCCUUCAAGGUAAAUUAUGUAAAUUUCCUGAUAAUGGCCUGCAGUCAUAAUUGUUGUUGUAUUAGUGUAGCUACAACUACUAACAUUUGGUAAGUGAAGACUUUGUAAAUGGGAUAAAUUGGAUUAUUUAUGAGUGUAUAAGAGAAUGUUCAUGGCUGUAACGGCAAACACUGACUGAUGGUUAUGUUUCUAUAUUGUUGUUGUUUGUGAAGAUCACUAGAUGCAUCUCCAGUGUUUGCUCUUGCAACACACAUUCUUGCUCAUGAAAGAUACUAUUUCUAAAGCAUUUAGGCCUUAAAAUUUAUUUAAAUUAAAUUAAUUCAUUUUGGCAAUCAUAAUUUUAUUUAUAUUAAAUACUGUAUUGUAACAAUAGGUUUCUUACAUUUUA